UGGAACGGUUGUCUUAUACUAUAUAAUAUUGCUGCAUGAAUAUGGUAACUAGUCAUUUAAUUAUCAGUCAUGUUCAUCUAGUGAUGUUUGCAGUCAGUCUAGCCAUAUAAGCUGGCACUGAUAACAGUUUAUCCACAGCUUGUUCAGUGUCAUAUUGUUCGAUCUUCCUGUUUCUACGUUUGUUUAUUUUCCAGAGAAUAGACUGCAUUUCAGAUCUGCAGAAGAACUAAAUUAUUCACAAAUGGAGUGUAGAUUAGAUGGACAGGUGUCAGUGAACAUGUCUUUAGAGGAGCAUAACUUACUCACAUUGAGAGAGAGGACUGUCAUUGUCACCAUUCCAUGCUUGACUAAAGCCCACACCUGUUGAAAUAAAGCUGAGGAAAAAAACA